GCCAGCAUGGCAUAGUGGUUUGAACAUUUAACUACAACUCUGGAGACCUGGGUUCAAUUCCCAGCUCAGCCA